rnacentral:tRNA from 1 species
UAUGUAUUAGUGUUUAGCAUUGAAAAUUUUGAGUUUUUAGGAAGUAGUGAAAACUACUAUAUAUAU